UUGCUUCGCACAGCCGUGCGCCUCACAUUCUGCCCUGACAGCACUUCACUGUAUAUCUAAAUAGAGCACGAGCCAGGCCUGUCCCUGGAAAACUUUUACAUUCUGCUCCAUUCAGGGAGGAUUUGUCACUUGGGAAGAAGGAUAAUGAAGCUGUGUUUCUUCUCUGGUUGCUCUAGGCAGUCUUUCCAGCAAACAUGGGGAUAGCUGGAUUGGAUUAAAUGAGCUCUCCUUCCUGUCUGUCAAGCAGGGUGUAGCAGAGGAAGGGAUGGUUGCAAUCAGGCUCCGUUCAUCAGAAAAGGCUAGUCAGUGUGGUCUGUGACGGGCUCCUACACUCGUGAACGUCCAUGCCGCCUGCGACUGAGGAAAGCACAGAGGUUACUGUCGGCAUAGUGGGGUUGGUCAAGUCUGUCAGGGUGGUGGGGGUGCUGGAGGGGCUCAUGGAAGCAUUUGAGAUUUCAGAGGCCGGUCCUGACGGCGUGCCUCCCGGCAGUGUGGAGCCGUCGGAGGUCUUGUCUGCACCAGUGCUUUCUUGUCGCAGAAGGUUCCUCCUGAAUUUGGCCCGAGCGUUCUGGAACCAGACCUGCAAAGUUAAAUAAAAUCAUUUGCAGUAUCGUCCAGUGUAUUUAGUAAUCACAUUCACACAGGUUCACAACAUGUUUAUAUUUUUACAGUAUCAUACAUAAAUACACACGAAUAGGAUCACAGAUUGUAUCUGACUGCACCUACAAAUAUUUUCAAUAUUAUCAGAACAAUUGUUACAGCUGUAAAGCAUGAACAUGUGCACAAUGUGCUGCUUUUUCCAAAACAAUAAAAUCACAUUUAAGUAGUUGUGGAUGUGCAAGCAAAUGUGACAAAAACAAAUCAAAAAUUAACCUUGAUAGCUGCAAGUAGCAAAUGAAAAUGCUGAAUUACACUUCUAUUCAUGUUCUUUUCUUUCAAACAAAAAAAAAGAAUCCCUGUCUGAUUUUCACUUACAACUGUACAAAAAUGAAUUACGGGUUUUCAAAUUAAGAAAUGAGUGUCUUUCUCAGUGUGCUUUGUAAUUGUGUGUGCCUCCCUAUGCAAGACAAAGAUGAAUGAAAACCCUAUACAGCGGAGGCUGAGAAAUAAAGCGCCAGACUGUCUA